GUUUUCGCUUCGGCAGCACUUACACUAAAAUUGGAACAAUACAGAGAAGAUUGGCAUGGUCCCUGUGCAAGGAUGACACAGAUUUGUGAAGUAGUCCAUAAAAAA